UACCGCCCGUCACACCAUGGGAGUUUGUUGCACCAGAAGCAGGUAGCUUAACCUUCGGGAGGGCGCUUGCCACGGUGUGGCCGAUGACUGGGGUG
rnacentral:rRNA from 1 species